UCAGGCAAAGUCAUGUAUGAAAAUGAAUCAACAUUAAUCAAUUUAAAACAGUAUUGAAGUGAAUUAACAAUGGAAAAAUAGGUUUUCUACGUCAUCUUGCACUAUCAUUCGCUCGUAGUGCGCUGAAUGUAACCAAUAUAUAAGCGUCUGUAAUAUCGGAUAGCUGACAUAUCAUUUCGUAAAAUGACAGUGGAAAGAACUGUGUAUUGAAUCUGACUAUUGUAUAGUGCUAUUUUGUGAAUAUAAACAGAAGCGGCGUUAGAACUAAUAUAAAAAGACAACUCCAUUAAUUGUAAAAUGCUGUUUAAUCCAUACAACGUGAUAAUGUUACUCUAUGCAACUUUUACUUAUUUGAACUUUCCACAAAGUCCGACAACUUCG